UACGUAGGGUGCGAGCGUUGUCCGGAAUUACUGGGCGUAAAGAGCUCGUAGGUGGUUUGUCGCGUUGUUCGUGAAAACUCACAGCUUAACUGUGGGCGUGCGGGCGAUACGGGCAGACUGGAGUACUGCAGGGGAGACUGGAAUUCCUGGUGUAGCGGUGAAAUGCGCAGAUAUCGGGAGGAACACCGGUGGCGAAGGCGGGUCUCUGGGCCGAUACUGACGCUGAGGAGCGAAAGCGUGGGGAGCAAACAGG
rnacentral:rRNA from 1 species